AUUUAGCGUAUCAAGUAGAACA
rnacentral:snRNA from 1 species